rnacentral:rRNA from 1 species
CUACGGGUUGCUCCAGGCGAGAAACCUUUGCAAUGUGCGCAAGCACGACAAGGUUAAUCCGAGUGUUUCCUGCUAAAGGAAUCUUUUGUUAGUCCUAAAAACACUAGCGAAUAAGGGGUGGGCAAGUUCUGGUGUCAGCCGCCGCGGUAAAACCAGCACCUCAAGUGGUCAGGAGGAUUAUUGGGCCUAAAGCAUCCGUAGCCUGCUCUGUAAGUUUCCGGUUAAAUCCAUUCGCUUAACUGAUGGGCCGCCGGAAAAACUACAAAGCUAGGGAGUGGGAGAGGUAGACGGUACUCGGUAGGAAGGGGUAAAAUCCUUUGAUCUAUUGAUGACCACCUGUGGCGAAGGCGGUCUACCAGAACACGUUCGACGGUGAGGGAUGAAAGCUGGGGGAGCAAACCGGAUUAGAUACCCGUGUAGUC